AUUGAACGCUGGCGGCAGGCCUAACACAUGCAAGUCGCACGAGUGGCGGACGGGUGAGUAAUGUCUGGGAAACUGCCUGAUGGAGGGGGAUAACUACUGGAAACGGUAGCUAAUACCGCAUACCAUCAGAUGUGCCAAGAUGGGAUUAGCUAGUUGGUGGGGUAACGGCUUACCAAGGAGACGAUCCCUAGCUGGGCUGAGAGGAUGACCAGCCACACGGUAACUGAGACACUGUCCAGACUCCUACGGGAGGCAGCAGUGGGGAAUAUUGCACAAUGGGUGCAAGCCGGAUGCAGCCAUGCCGCGUGUAUGAAGAGGGCCUUCGGGUGGUAAAGUACUUUCAGCGGGGAGGCGUUACCCGCAGAAGAAGCACCGGCUAACUCCGUGCCAGCAGCCGCGGUAAUUC
rnacentral:rRNA from 1 species